GUAAUGGUAUUGGCCUAACCCUGAUAAUGUUGGCCCUUCUGAGAAUGAGGACAGUGCUGAGAUGAACACAGAAACAUUGUAGCCUCUGAGGCUGGGAAUGACCUGUCAUGGGUUACAUCUUCACACAGAUAAAGACAGACACACAGGUGAUACAGAGAGACAGAGACAGACACGAACACAGAGACAGACACGAACACACAGAGACAGAGACAGACACGAACACACAGAGACAGAGACAGACACGAACACACAGAGACAGAGACAGACACGAACACACAGAGACAGACACGAACACACAGAGACAGACACGAACACACAGAGACAGACACGAACACACAGAGACAGACACGAACACACAGAGACAGACACGAGGCAGAGGCGACGCUAUCACUAUAACCGGAGGCUUAACGUAAGAUACAAGUAACAUUGCUGGAGAUGUCUGAGGCCAUCUAUGCCAAGCCAGACAUGACCAAGAAAGUCAAGUUUGACAGAGGUGAGAUGGAGGAGAGGAUUGUGGAUAUCUACACCAGCACCAAGACAGAAGAUGUAGAACACAAUUCAAGUAAUGGACCGGGAGACCAGCACACAGAAUAAUGAGAUGGCCAUGAAUGUUUUAACUGACCUGUUCUGAUGGCUGGAACAAGUUUGAAUCCUGUUGGUACUUCGUCUCUUCUGAGAGAAAAACCUGGAGUGAGAGCAGACAGGACUGUGUGGAGAGAGGAGCAG